UACGAAGGGGGCUAGCGUUGUUCGGAAUUACUGGGCGUAAAGCGUGCGCAGGCGGCUUCUCAAGUCAGGGGUGAAAGCCCAGAGCUCAACUCUGGAAUUGCCUUUGAGACUGAGUGGCUUGAGUACGAGAGAGGUGAGUGGAAUUCCCAGUGUAGAGGUGAAAUUCGUAGAUAUUGGGAAGAACACCGGUGGCGAAGGCGGCUCGCUGGCCCGUAACUGACGCUCAUGCACGACAGCGUGGGGAGCAAACAGG
rnacentral:rRNA from 1 species